AUUGAACGCUGGCGGUAUGCUUAACACAUGCAAGUCGAACGGUAACGGUCCUUCGGGAGCCGACGAGUGGCGGACGGGUGCGUAACGCGUAGGAAUCUGCCUGUUAGUGGGGGACAACGUGGGGAAACUCACGCUAAUACCGCAUACGCCCUACGGGGGAAAGGAGGGGACCUUCGGGCCUUUCGCUAACAGAUGAGCCUGCGUUGGAUUAGCUAGUUGGUAGGGUAAAGGCCUACCAAGGCGACGAUCCAUAGCUGGUCUGAGAGGACGAUCAGCCACACUGGGACUGAGACACGGCCCAGACUCCUACGGGAGGCAGCAGUGGGGAAUAUUGGACAAUGGGCGCAAGCCUGAUCCAGCAAUACCGCGUGUGUGAAGAAGGCCUGAGUGUUGUAAAGCACUUUUAAUCGGGAGGAAUAGCUGUUGGUUAAUGCCCGGCAGUCUGACAUUACCGAUAGAAAAAGCACCGGCUAACUCCGUGCCAGCAGCCGCGGUAACAC
rnacentral:rRNA from 1 species